rnacentral:rRNA from 1 species
UCCUCCCUCUGUCGGCGUGCUUAACACAUGCAAGUCGAACGGAAAGGCCCUGCUUUUGUGGGGUGCUCGAGUGGCGAACGGGUGAGUAACACGUGAGUAACCUGCCCUUGACUUUGGGAUAACUUCAGGAAACUGGGGCUAAUACCGGAUAGGAGCUCCUGCUGCAUGGUGGGGGUUGGAAAGUUUCGGCGGUUGGGGAUGGACUCGCGGCUUAUCAGCUUGUUGGUGGGGUAGUGGCUUACCAAGGCUUUGACGGGUAGCCGGCCUGAGAGGGUGACCGGCCACAUUGGGACUGAGAUACGGCCCAGACUCCUACGGGAGGCAGCAGUGGGGAAUAUUGCACAAUGGGCGGAAGCCUGAUGCAGCAACGCCGCGUGCGGGAUGACGGCCUUCGGGUUGUAAACCGCUUUCGCCUGUGACGAGGCGUGAGUGACGGUAAUGGGUAAAGAAGCACCGGCUAACUACGUG